CGGAGGGCGUAGCGUUGUUCGGAAUUACUGGGCGUAAAGCGUACGUAGGCGGCUUUGUAAGUUAGAGGUGAAAGCCCGGAGCUCAACUCCGGAACUGCCUUUAAGACUGCAUCGCCUAGAACGUCGGAGAGGUGAGUGGAAUUCCGAGUGUAGAGGUGAAAUUCGUAGAUACUCGGAAGAACACCAGUGGCGAAAGGCGACUCACUGGACGACUGUUGACGCUGAGGUACGAAAGCGUGGGGAGCAAACAGGAUU
rnacentral:rRNA from 1 species